rnacentral:sRNA from 1 species
GCUGGGUGCGGUGGCUCAUGCCUGUAAUCCCAGCAACUUGGGAGGCUGAGACAGAAGGAUCACAAGUUCAAGGCCAGCCUCAGCAAAAGUGAGGCACUAAGCAAAUCACUGAGACGCUGUCUCUA